rnacentral:rRNA from 1 species
UACGUAGGUGGCAAGCGUUGUCCGGAUUUACUGGGCGUAAAGAGCGCGCAGGCGGUCGUUCAAGUCGCGUGUGAAAGCCCCCGGCUCAACUGGGGAGGGUCACGCGAUACUGAUCGACUGGAAGGCAGGAGAGGGUAGUGGAAUUCCCGGUGUAGUGGUGAAAUGCGUAGAUAUCGGGGGGAACACCAGUGGCGAAGGCGACUACCUGGCCUGUUCUUGACGCUGAGGCGCGAAAGCGUGGGGAGCAAACAGG